CGUGUGCGCCUGUAAGGAAUCCGCGCGACCGGUUCUCGAAAGGCGUUUUUUUUUUUUAAGCGAAGACGCCGCAGACCGACCGGGGGGGGUUGCAGGCAGCCCCGAGACCGACGCUCCCUCUCCCGGACUGACAGGCCAAUCGCAGGCCACCGCUCGCCCUCCCUCCAUCCACAGUGCUGUCUCUCUUUCUCUCUCUCUCUCUCUCUCUCUCUCUCUCUCUCUCUCUCUCUCUCUCACUAACUCGCACUCCCUCCUCUCUCUUUCUCUCUCACUCUGGUUUUCAUUCCUUUACGUUCAAUCCGUGCAUCCCCUCCUCCUCCUCCUCCUCCUCCUCCUCCUCACACCUUUUGGUCAGAAGAGGAAGAGGAAGCCCAGCCCAGGGAGAGACGCUGAGAGGAUGAAACUCUGACACGCCGACAGACCACAGGGAAACAAGAGCACAACUAUAAUUGCUAGAAGGCAGCGCCCGGGAAGGUCAGCCAAGAAGCCCGCCGUAGGUGCCAAAGUGAAAUCUACAGGACUACAAUUACUUGGACAGACUGAGGCGGCAGAGCAAAGUGAAUGACAGAAACUGAUUGGCGUCGACAUUGGACUUCACUCUCGGCAUCGGCAACAAGUGAUUCCUGCUCCUCCCACCACCUCCAUCCUCUGACAGGUAGGAUGACAAACCUUCAUAACUGAUGGAUAACGAUAUAUGUACAUGUUCAUGUUGGAGCAGUGAGCCUACGGGGAAAACAAUACUUACUUAAUAUACAGUAUCUUUCAGAGGGUUACUAAAUUACAUAACACAAAAUAUCCAACAGACCCCACUGUUGAGAAACAAUAAUAAGGGGACGAAAGAAAUCAGCACAACUGCGUGAACUGUUAAAAUGCAGGAUUCAAUGAUGUAAUCGUUUUCUACUCGGAGAACUAAGUAUAAAAAGUGAAGCAGCUCAUUUGCCAGGGCUGAGACCAGCUAAAUGUUCAAAAUGAAUAGAUAUCUUGUGCAGUACGCUGCCUCUGUACCAUCUCAUUAUUCAGCUCAUCUUCUAAUUAGAAGAUGUCUCAGCAGAUCUCUAAAUGCCAUAUUGACUAAAGUUACAAACCACCGGACAACAAAGGAAUCCCAUUGUUCUUCUCUUUGCCAUUUUGUGUAAUGAGCCUCUGUUUUCCCUCUGCACCUCUGUGUGGAGAGACGCUUUCUUCUUGUCAGCUCGUUCCCCGUGCAGACGGUUAAAAGACAUCCGAAAACACACUCGUUGGAAUGAUAAUCUCGAUGCGCGUCUGCACUUAUGGAGAAUAUCUGGAAGCAUGUCAGACGUGCAUCAAAGCCGUUGUUGUAAUUUUCUUUUCAAGGGCAACUUGAAAGAGGAGUCGGGGAAAAGGAGAGUGGCGUUGGUUUCUUGUUUUCUCCUACGAGGCAGCUCGUUCAAAAGUAAGCCGGGAUGAUUCAGCAGGAAGCCAACAGCCGUCUGACUGAUUCACAUUUAAACAUAAACAGAAGUACGGACGCUCCAGGGAGCUCCGCGGAGGAAUGGAGAGCUAGACCCAAAUUUCACAGCAGCAAAUCAAAACCCGCCUUUUUAUUUGACUCUUCCUUUCUGUUUCCCCCUUUUUUCAAUCCGUGGCUCCCCGUAGCACUGUGCACACAUAACAGCGCCUACUGAUUGGGCUUAUUUGAAGCACGUACCCUGACCAGAAAUAAAAAAGGAGAAGAGGAGAUUUUCCCAUGUCACAACGGGAUUGAAUGUGGUUCUCCAGAAGAGGAGGGCCUGAGAGGAUUAUAUGGCUCAGUGGGUGCUGUAUUGUGUGGGGAGUGGAUACAGCAGGUACCCGCCGAAUCCCAGCCAAGAGACAGACACAGUGUUGCUAGGGAUAAUGUUGCCUCCUAGCAAUUAAACUCUGGAGGUUUUGGAGUGGUUUAGGAGGAAGCUUAUUAAAUGAUCCUCUCUCUCUCUCUCUCUCUCUCUCUCUCUCUCUCUCUUCUCCCCCCCCCGUUUUCUUCCCCUUUCACUGGACGUACACCAACAAGGGAAGUCAUUUGAAUUGACUUGAAUACUUAAUUGAAUCCUCCCCAGAUUUUCCCAUCACACAUAGAUUACACACACACACACACACACACACUGAGACAUGAAGGCAAACUGCAUCCACACACUCGCUCUGUUGAGGUGAGGUGAGAAAUGCCAAAAGCUGCCAGUUGAUGGCAGUUUUGAAUUAGAAACAUAGAAGCUUUUUAAAAAAAACUAAAAAAGGCAGUGAAACUCAAACAGUCAUAAUAAUCUGAAUUGAAUGCUUUGUAUUCAGAAUCCAGUCGCUCUCUUUGUAGCAUCACUUUUCACUAAUAAUUAGCAGCUUAUUUGUGAGGUAGAACGUGUUUGAGGAUAACAGUCGAUGAGGAUUCAAGGACUGCAUUCAUAUUGUAAUUCACAGCAUAGACUUGUGUAGGACCCUCAUUGCAGCGACAUACAUUAUGUUGGCAGUACAAUACGCCUCCUAUGUGCUUCAUUAAAGUGUUUCAUAUGCUGCUGCAUUAGUCACUCGUUAAAAUUAGCCUGAAUUCAAAGGUUUGUGCUCGUUAGGUGUUUUUGUGUAAUGUACAUUUAUUACUAUAGAAUUAAGGAGUUAGCUUCAUUUUCCUUCUAUCGUUUUCCAUUUUUUCUCAUGCUAAAUUAUUCAUAUAUAUCUGUAAAUGUUACAUUUUGCACAUGCUGGUAGGUUUCUGUCGACUCAAACAUCAUAAUCCAUGUACAAUAAUCCUGUAAUAUACAGUAGCAUUGAAAGAGUCCUCCGCCUCGCACAACUACUUAUUUGUACUGUUCAUAUUACAGUAUGAGCACAUUCUGCUCAUAAUUAUUCUGUACUUUUACGAAACUAAAAUUUUAAUAAUGUUGAGUUUUCUGACUCCUGCUGCCUCUUACAGUUAAAGUUAAAAUCUAGGACUUUCAUUGAAUCAAACCCAAUUUUUGAUAUUAUUUAUUGGCGUUUUUUUCAGCAAUAACUAGUAGUGGUGACCUAGAGGUUAGACAAGUGUGAGUAUCACGCUGUUUAUGCAAAAGAGAGGCUUCGUCUCAGUGAAGUUAGCAGAACAACAUUCAAUGCGGUCACAUUCUGUAAUCACUUUUUUAUAUAUACGCAGGAGCGACUGUGGCUAAGUGGAUAGCAGGCCGUCCUUCAAUCAGAGGGUCGGC